GACGAACGCUGGCGGCGUGCUUAACACAUGCAAGUCGAACGGAAAGGCCCCUUUGGGGGUACUCGAGUGGCGCACGGGUGAGUAACACGUGAGUAACCUGCCCUUGACUUCGGGAUAACUUCAGGAAACUGGGGCUAAUACCGGAUAGGAAUCCUUGCUGCAUGGUGGGGGUUGGAAAGCUUCGGCGGUUUUGGAUGGACUCGCGGCUUAUCAGCUUGUUGGUGGGGUAGUGGCUUACCAAGGCUUUGACGGGUAGCCGGCCUGAGAGGGCGACCGGCCACAUUGGGACUGAGAGACGGCCCAGACUCCUACGGGAGGCAGCAGUGGGGAAUAUUGCACAAUGGGCGGAAGCCUGAUGCAGCAACGCCGCGUGCGGGAUGACGGCCUUCGGGUUGUAAACCGCUUUCAGCAGGGGCGAAGCUUGUGGUGACGGUACCUGCAGAAGAAGCACCGGCUAACUACGUG
rnacentral:rRNA from 1 species